rnacentral:rRNA from 1 species
AUUGAACGCUGGCGGCAGGCCUAACACAUGCAAGUCGAGCGAGCGGCGGACGGGUGAGUAAUGUCUGGGAAACUGCCUGAUGGAGGGGGAUAACUACUGGAAACGGUAGCUAAUACCGCAUACCAUCAGAUGUGCCCAGAUGGGAUUAGCUAGUAGGUGGGGGAAAGGCUCACCUAGGCGACGAUCCCUAGCUGGUCUGAGAGGAUGACAAGCCACAAUGGAACUGAGACACGGUCCAGACUCCGACGGGAGGAAGCAGGGGGGAAUAUUGAACAAUGGGCGCAAGCCUGAGGCAGCCAUGCCGCGUGUGUGAAGAAGGCCUUCGGGUUGUAAAGCACUUUCAGCGGGGAGGCGUUACUCGCAGAAGAAGCACCGGCUAACUCCGUGCCAGCAGCCGCGGUAAUUC